rnacentral:misc_RNA from 1 species
AAGUCGUAACAAGGUUUCCGUAAGUCUACAACCAGUACCCCUAUUCAAUAUGAAUCGUAACUAACAACCUCUUAGGUAGGUGAACCUGCGGAGGGAUCAUUCCUGAAUGGCUCCGGCCUUCUACCUUCAAACCUGUGGAAGCGAACCGUGCUUCGGGGCUCUGGCCCCGCAUCCAUGCAUCAAAGUGUUUGUCCGAACCCAAAGCAAGAAUUAAAACUUUCAACAAAGGAUCUCUUGGCUCUC